GAUCAUGGCUCAGGACGAACGCUGGCGGCGUGCCUAACACAUGCAAGUCGAGCGGGGACACGGGGCUUCGGCGCUGUGUUCUAGCGGCGGACGGGUGAGUAACGCGUGAACAAUCUGUCCCAGACAGGGGGAUAACAACUGGAAACAGUUGCUAAUACCGCAUAAGACCACGGCCUCGCAUGGGGCUGGGGUAAAAGUGGGAACACGGUUUGGGGUGAGUUCGCGUCCCAUUAGCUGGUUGGCGGGGUAACGGCCC
rnacentral:rRNA from 1 species